UUCCUCCGAUGUGCAAUUAUUCCUAUUAUUUACCCUCCAUUUCGCUGCACACUUGAGCUAAGGAUUAGACAUUGCUUUUCUCACUGUGGCUUUGAGUCUGUAAAAAUGCACAGGUUAUAGUUAUUCUCUAUGUUUUGCUUGGACUCUCCAAAAAUGUCAUCGGGUGCGUGUCGGAUUCUCCAAAAGCAUUGUAUUUUUGGAGAAUCGAGUACGGGUGCGGCAGUGUUUCGGAUAGUCCGCGCAACAUAGGCCAAAAAAAGUUAAAGAACGCAAAAUCAAAGAAUAGGAGUUUCUAGAAGAUGCCCACGGGGGGCAAUGAAGGUGAGCUGUUGAUGAAGUGGCUCUGAUGAGAUACUCAUAUAGACAGUUGGAUAACUUGAGAUAUGACAGUGCAUCAUCUUGGUGUGUACUAUUAUUGAAAUACUUUUGAUUUAUAAAUAAAGAUAAGAUGUUCAAUGAA